UACGGAGGGGGCGAGCGUUAUUCGGAAUUAUUGGGCGUAAAGGGCGCGUAGGCGGCUUGACAAGUCAAAGGUGAAAUCCCUCGGCUCAACUGAGGAACUGCCUUUGAAACUGUCUGGCUUGAGGCCGGGAGGGGGUAGCGGAAUUCCCAGUGUAGCGGUGAAAUGCGUAGAUAUCUGGAGGAACACCGGUGGCGAAGGCGGCAUCCUGGACCGACAUUGACGCUGAGGAGCGAAAGCUAGGGGAGCAAACGGG
rnacentral:rRNA from 1 species